UCCCCUCCUUUCUCGAGCUCACGUGUCAAUCGUGUUGAGCGCUCACGCUUAUCGGCUGUGAAUUGAAGACAGAAACGCAGACAGACUCAGGGGUCUGUAGCUCAGUCGGUUAGAGCACCGUCUUGAUAAGGCGGGGGUCGAUGGUUCGAAUCCAUCCAGACCCACCAUUGUCUUGUCUGCGAUGGCUGACCGGCAAAACCCCUGAGUGGCAACAGAUGAUGGUCUGUGCAUGACUGGGGGAUUAGCUCAGCUGGGAGAGCACCUGCUUUGCAAGCAGGGGGUCGUCGGUUCGAUCCCGUCAUCCUCCACCAAUCCUCAAUGCGUAGCGUUCCGUGAGAAGCAGAAUGCUGCGCAUUGGCGAUUGAGCCAGUCAGAGUGAUACAUGGUUAUAGCAACCAUGAUAUCGGCUGUCGUUCUUUAACAAUCAGGAAGAAGUAGUAAAGAGAUUCACGAAAGCAUGCUUAGAGAUGGGUGUGCGAGUAGGUGAAUCAGGGUUGUGAUUGUAUCAAUGUAUUUUUAAGUGAUCGAAAGAUUGCUUUGGAAUACGGCGCAACACGAAUACUCAACCUGUAGCGAGCGUGACAAACACGAUCUUCCCAGUGAAGGCCGUGCGAGACACACCCGUUAUAGGGUCAAGCGAACAAGUGCAUGUGGUGGAUGCCUUGGCGAUCACAGGCGAUGAAGGACGCGGUAGCCUGCGAAAAGCGGAGGGGAGCUGGCAAACGAGCUUUGAUCCUCCGAUAUCCGA
rnacentral:misc_RNA from 1 species